AUUAUUUUUUUUCUUUUUGAGAUAGAAUUUCUUUCCCAUAGCCCUAGCUUGUCCUGGCAUUAGCUCUGUAGACCAGUCUGGCUUCCAACUCACAGAGAUCCACCUGCCUCUGCCUCACAGGGGCUGGGAUUAAUGGUGUAAGCCACCACUGCCUGAUUUUCUUUUAAUUAUUUAAAGAAAGACAAUUGUUUUCCUAUUCAGAGAUUAAAUUUGAUAUUUUAAAAAAUUAAUAAUGAGGAGAAAAUAUAGUGCUAUUUUGAUUAAUAGUUAAUAAUAACAACAGGUGAUGCUCCUAAAAUAUUCACUUUUGCAAUUGGUCUUUAAACUGUUCACUAUCCCAUAUCCCAUACCAGAUCAAUUUUAUCCCAUCAUACACUGUUCCUUAGUGUUUAUUUCUCUGGAGUCUAAAACUGGACCAAAGGAGAGAAAUACCAUAAUAACUGAAAGGUGAAACCAUUGUAAUAAAAUCAUGGAAGGCAGUGACUUAACUGUGGUAGAAUGCUCAAUAACCUGAUAUUUAACAUUAACAGUGACACAUUAAAUAUUGAGUACUGUGUCUGCUUCCACAAUUCUAGAUGAGCACAUUUUGAUCCUGAGAAAUAUCACUUGGAAAUACUUGGUACCAUACGGGUAUUUAGAAAGAUCUCAUUAAGUGAUAAAUUUCCUUUCUAUACUGAAUUAAUCAUGACAAUAAUAUCUUCUCAAAUUCAAGCCUGGACCACUAGUCAUACUCAUGGAAAAUAUGAUCUGAGACCCUGUAUUCGGCAGUUUCCUUGUACUGGAGAUGUUUCUGACUCUUCAGAUGUCUACAGCCAAAGUUGUAGAUGUACUUGGGAUGGGUUCCAGAUUCAGAUCUGGUUUAUAUUCUCAUUCACACUCUCAUCUUCCAAUAACUUUGUUGCUUUUCCUGGAACAACAACAUUGUUCUGCCCCUCUCUUCUUUCUCAGGCAGAGCACCUUUCUCUCUCAAAAUGAAGUUAGUCAAUUAGGCUCCUGUAUCUAGCAACCAACUUCAGGAAAGCCAGUGUGUCUUCAUGCCUAAUGGACAUAACUGUCUGAGACUGAAGUAUUUGGAACCCUAAGGAUAAGGCUUUUAAAUCUGUACAACGAACCUGGGGAUCCAUUCACAAUUACUGAAGUACUUGAUGGAUUAAAUACCUUCAGCGGUUGCCUCCGGAAAACAAAACUGUGCACUGAAACUCAG